GAAUCUUGGACAAUGGGGGCAACCCUGAUCCAGCCAUGCCGCGUGAGUGAUGAAGGCCCUAGGGUUGUAAAACUCUUUCGGCGGGGACGAUACUGACGGUACCCGCAGAAGAAGCCCCGGCUAACUUUUUGCCAGCAGCCGCGGUAAUACGAAGGGGGCUAGCGUUGUUCGGAAUUACUGGUCGUAAAGCGCGCGCAGGCGGUUUUCCAAGUCAGGGGUGAAAGCCCAGAGCUCAACUCUGGAACUGCCUUUGAAACUGGAAAACUAGGGUACGGGAGAGGUGAGUGGAAUUCCGAGUGUAGAGGUGAAAUUCGUAGAUAUUCGGAAGAACACCAGUGGCGAAGGCGGCUCACUGGCCCGUUACCGACGCUCAGGCGCGACAGCGUGGGGAGCAAACAGG
rnacentral:rRNA from 1 species